rnacentral:rRNA from 1 species
AUUGAACGCUGGCGGCAGGCCUAACACAUGCAAGUCGAGCGGCAGCGGGAAAGUAGCUUGCUACUUUUGCCGGCGAGCGGCGGACGGGUGAGUAAUGCCUGGAAAUUGCCCAGUCGAGGGGGAUAACAGUUGGAAACGACUGCUAAUACCGCAUACGCCCUACGGGGGAAAGCAGGGGACCUUCGGGCCUUGCGCGAUGGGAUAUGCCCAGGUGGGAUUAGCUAGUUGGUGAGGUAAUGGCUCACCAAGGCGACGAUCCCUAGCUGGUCUGAGGGGAAGAUCAGCCACACUGGAACUUAGACACGGUCCAGACUACUACGGGAGGCAGCAGUGGGGAAUAUUGCACAAUGGGGGAAACCCUGAUGCAGCCAUGCCGCGCGUGUGAAGAAGGCCUUCGGGUUGUAAAGCACUUUCAGCGAGGAGGAAAGGUUGAUGCCUAAUACGUAUCAACUGUGACGUUACUCGCAGAAGAAGCACCGGCUAACUCCGUGCCAGCAGCCGCGGUAAAAC